GCGGAUUUUUUUGCCCAUAGAUCUUUCUUUAUAGGGUGUUUUUUUAAUGUCUUAAACAACUCAUAUGCCCCUCCUUUUUAGAAGCAAAAGUAAAUGAAGAAGACACUUGAUCGUUAGUCUUGCUGUUCAUCUACUACCAGCAGGAUUCUGCAUUUGCAAUAGCAGGUUAUUUCAGAGUUCAAAAGGAAAUGACUUGAGAUGGUUAAAGAUGGAUUUGCAUCAAUCUCUCAGCUAUAAUCGAUCAGACUAUCCAAUCUAAGAGUUGCUACCAGUAGCUGACAGGGAAGGAAAAUGAGAAAAAAAUAUAAGGCUAUCUGAAACGGUGUACCUUUCUGCAUACUCUGGAGAAUGCAUAAUUUGGAAGGAAAGGAACAACUGAUGGUUGGAAGAUGCCACAUCUGCAAUAUAAAUAUUAGAAUAUAAAUGUUUGCACCUGUCAUCUUUUUGGACUAACUUAAAAAUGCAUAUGACUAAGAAAUAUUUUUUUAGUUCCUUCAAAACAUUUAGGCAUUGUUCAGGAACUGUGAGAACUUGCUAUUAUUUUCUAGCAAUUUGUAUUGUUGUACCUCAAACGAUGUAUCC